CCCAAAUGGGACAGUAAAUAGGAACAAAAACAUAUAAAAAAAUAUAACCCAUACCGAAUCCGCUCCGAUCUGCCAAGUAAAUAGAGCGGAAGGUGGGAGAUCCUUUUCUUCUUUCAAUCCGUUCCAAUCUAUCGAAAAUUCGCUCUCGCCCCGAUCCAUCUCAAAUGAGACAGUAAGUGGGAGCAAAAAAUAAAAUAAAAAAUAGCCCGCUCCAAAUCCGUCCCGUCCCGUCCCGACAAGAAAUAGAGCGUCAAGUAGGAGAACCCUCCCGCCCCCGGAUCCGCCCUGCUUGCAUCCCU
rnacentral:lncRNA from 1 species